rfam:Hypsibius dujardini strain Z151 scaffold0133, whole genome shotgun sequence.
GCCUGCGACCAUACCACGUAGAAUGCUCCCGAUCCCGUUCGAUCUCGGAAGAUAAGGUGCGUCGGGCCCGGUUAGUACUUAGAUGGGUGACCGCUUGGGAACACCGGGUGUUGCAGGCA